AAAUUGAAGAGUUUGAUCAUGGCUCAGAUUGAACGCUGGCGGCAGGCCUAACACAUGCAAGUCGAGCGGUAGCACAGAGAGCUUGCUCUCGGGUGACGAGCGGCGGACGGGUGAGUAAUGUCUGGGAAACUGCCUGAUGGAGGGGGAUAACUACUGGAAACGGUAGCUAAUACCGCAUAACGUCGCAAGACCAAAG
rnacentral:ncRNA from 2 species